rnacentral:lncRNA from 1 species
AGACUGUUGAAAAGGUAUAGUAAGGGUGUAAGAAGAUGAAGAAAGAUAUACAAAUCAUGUACAAAGUGUGUAUAAAGUGAGUACAAAGGGUUUACAAAUGGUAUAUAAAGGGUUUGUAAAGGGUGUACCAAGGGUGUAUAAAGGGUGUGUAAAAAGUGUAUAAAGGGUGUACAAAGGGUGUAGACCCACUCUACAUCUUUUUUAAAAAUAUAUAGAAAGGCUGCAGAAGGGUGCAGAAAUGAUAUAUAAAGGGGUUAGAAAGGAUGUAGAAAGGGUGUAGAAAGACUCUUGAAAAGGUUUAGUAAGGGUGUUAGAAUAUGAAGAAAGAUGUAGAAAUCGUGUACAAAGUGUGUAUAAAGUGAGUACAAAGGGUUUACAAAUGUUGUAUAAAGGGUGUAUAAAGGGUAUACAAAGGGUGUAUAAAGGGUGUACUAAGGGUGUAGAAUCAUUCUUCCUCUUUUUAAAAAAUAUGUAGAAAGGCUGUAGAAGGGUUCCCAAAUGCUAUAUAAAGGGGUUAGAAAGGAUAUAGAAAAAGUGUAGAAAGACUGUUGAAAAGGUUUAAUAAGGAUGUAAGAAGAUGAAGAAAGAUGUAGAAAUCGUGUAAAAAGUGUGCAUAAAGUGAGUAUAAAUGGUUUACAAAUGUUGUAUAAAGGGUGUGUAAAGGGUGUACGAAGGGUGUAUAAAGGGUGUACAAAGGGUGUUGACCAGUUCAAUCUCUUUUUAAAAAUAAGUAGAAACGCUGCAGAAUGGCGCACAAAUGGUAUAUAAAGGGGUUAGAAACGAUAUAGAAAAAGUGUAGAAAGACUCUUCAAAAGGUUUAGUAAGGGUGUAAGAAGAUGAAGAAAGAUGUAGAAAUCGUGUACAGAGUGAGUACAAUGGGUUUAAAAAUUUUGUAUAAAGAUUGUAUAAAGGGAGUAUAAAGGGUGUACAAAGUGUGGAUAAAGAGUGUACAAAGAGUGUACACCCAUUCUACCUCUUUUUAAAAAAAUGUAGAAAGGCUGCAGAAGGGUGCACAAAUGGUAUAUCAAGGGGUUAGAAAGGAUGUAGAAAGGGUGUAGAAAGACUCUUGAAAAGGUUUAGUAAGGGUCUAAGAAGAUGAAGAAAGAUGUAGAAAUCGUGUACAAUGUGUGUAUAAAAAGACUGCAAAAGAUUUACAAAGCUUGUAUAAAAGGGUGUAUAAAAUGAGUACAAAGGGUUUACAAAUGUUGUAUAAAGGGUGUAUAAAGGGUGUAGAAAAGGUGUAUAAAGGGUGUACAAAGGGUGUAGACCCAUUCUAUCUCUUUUUAAAAAAGAUGUAGAAAGGCUGCAGAAGGGUGCACAAAUGGUAUAUAAAGGGGUUAGGAAGAAUGUAGAAAAGGUGUAGAAAGGUUGUUGAAAAGGUUUAGU